AUGAACGCUGGCGGUAUGCUUAACACAUGCAAGUCGAACGGACUCUUCGGAGUUAGUGGCGGACGGGUGAGUAACGCGUGAGAAUCUGGCUUUGGGUUCGGGACAACCACUGGAAACGGUGGCUAAUACCGGAUGUGCCGAGAGGUAAAAGAGAAAUUGCCUGAAGAUGAGCUCGCGUCUGAUUAGCUAGUUGGUGAGGUAAAGGCUCACCAAGGCAGCGAUCAGUAGCUGGUCUGAGAGGAUGACCAGCCACACUGGGACUGAGACACGGCCCAGACUCCUACGGGAGGCAGCAGUGGGGAAUUUUCCGCAAUGGGCGAAAGCCUGACGGAGCAAUACCGCGUAAGGGAAGAAGGCUCUUGGGUUGUAAACCUCUUUUCUUAGGGAAGAACAAAAUGACGGUACCUAAGGAAUCAGCAUCGGCUAACUCCGUG
rnacentral:rRNA from 1 species